rnacentral:rRNA from 1 species
UUUGGUUAAGUUAGAAAGGGCGCACGGUGGAUGCCUUGACACUAGGAGUCGAUGAAGGACGGGACUAACGCCGAUAUGCUUCGGGGAGCUGUAAGUAAGCUUUGAUCCGAAGAUUUCCGAAUGGGGAAACCCACCAUACGUAAUGGUAUGGUAUCCUUAUCUGAAUACAUAGGGUAAGGAAGACAGACCCAGGGAACUGAAACAUCUAAGUACCUGGAGGAAGAGAAAGCAAAUGCGAUUUCCUGAGUAGCGGCGAGCGAAACGGAACAUAGCCCAAACCAAGAGGCUUGCCUCUUGGGGUUGUAGGACAUUCUAUACGGAGUUACAAAGGAACGAGGUAGACGAAGCGACCUGGAAAGGUCCGUCGUAGAGGGUAACAACCCCGUAGUCGAAACUUCGUUCUCUCUUGAAUGUAUCCUGAGUACGGCGGAACACGUGAAAUUCCGUCGGAAUCUGGGAGGACCAUCUCCCAAGGCUAAAUACUCCCUAGUGAUCGAUAGUGAACCAGUACCGUGAGGGAAAGGUGAAAAGC